GACGAACGCUGGCGGCGUGCUUAACACAUGCAAGUCGUACGGUAAGGCCCUUUCGGGGGUACACGAGUGGCGAACGGGUGAGUAACACGUGAGUAACCUGCCCACAACUUUGGGAUAACGCUAGGAAACUGGUGCUAAUACUGGAUAUGUGCUCCUGCUGCAUGGUGGGGGUUGGAAAGCUCCGGCGGUUGUGGAUGGACUCGCGGCCUAUCAGCUUGUUGGUGGGGUAGUGGCCUACCAAGGCGGCGACGGGUAGCCGGCCUGAGAGGGUGACCGGCCACAUUGGGACUGAGAUACGGCCCAGACUCCUACGGGAGGCAGCAGUGGGGAAUAUUGCACAAUGGGCGCAAGCCUGAUGCAGCAACGCCGCGUGCGGGAGGACGGCCUUCGGGUUGUAAACCGCGUUCAGCAGGGACGAAGCUUUUUGUGACGGUACCUGCAGAAGAAGCACCGGCUAACUACGUG
rnacentral:rRNA from 1 species